UGGCGAACGGGUGAGUAAUAUAUCGGAACGUGCCCAGUCGUGGGGGAUAACGUAGCGAAAGCUACGCUAAUACCGCAUACGAUCUAUGGAUGAAAGCGGGGGAUCGCAAGACCUCGCGCGAUUGGAGCGGCCGAUAUCAGAUUAGGGUAGUUGGGUGAGGUAAAGGCUCACCAAGCCGACGAUCUGUAGCUGGUCUGAGAGGACGACCAGCCACACUGGGACUGAGACACGGCCCAGACUCCUACGGGAGGCAGCAGUGGGGAAUUUUGGACAAUGGGCGCAAGCCUGAUCCAGCAAUGCCGCGUGCAGGAUGAAGGCCUUCGGGUUGUAAACUGCUUUUGUACGGAACGAAACGGUGAGCUCUAAUACAGUUUGCUAAUGACGGUACCGUAAGAAUAAGCACCGGCUAACUACGUG
rnacentral:rRNA from 1 species